UGAUCCCGGUCUUGCGCCGGGGGGCGGUGUCCUCCAAGGCCAUCGCCCAGGGAGGAUGACUUGGCUUCUCCAAGAAAUAUUAUGUAGAUUUCCAGCGUAACUCGUCAAACUCUCCAGCAGGAGACCCAGUGACAACAUUCUUGGAAAACGAAGAGACAGCAAGAAGCAUUGUGUCAUGAGGAGACAGUUUGGGCUGGCCCCAGCAUUCACAUGGUAUUGCUUCCCCCAGUUUGCUGCUGUCAGGCCCCUUGAAUUCUUCCCAAUACGCUCUCUAGAAUCACAGAGCUGCAGAGAUUUGAAAUGGCAUUGCUAUAAUCAGUACCAUGCAGUAUCCAUGAGUUGCAUGACUAUGGAAAUGGGAGUGACCUUGGGUCAUGCAGCUGAUCAUCUUGUAUCCAAGAAGGAUUCAUCUCAAGUUCUCAUUACAGAUUCAGCACCAGGUCUAUUGUGACUCCUGAUUUGAGAGCAUGUUCUGCCUUAAACAUGAUUUCUCUGACAGUAACCAAGUA